GGCAGGAGAAUGGGGUUGAAAAAAAAUCCAUUAUCAAAUGGUGGAGCAGAUUCGAUGGGCCAAAUGGCCUAAUUCUCCUCCUAUGUCUUAUGGUCUCCAGGACAUUUAUAAAAGGUCUAUUGUCUUUGGGAGGUCAGCCUGACUAAGGUUUUGAAACAUACAUCGGUGACAUUCAAGUGACAAAUACAAGAUUUCCAACAUCGAGGGGCAAGUUAGGAAUUAAAAAUCAUUCUCUUUGCAUAAUCUGUGAAUCCAAUUCUGAUUAAGCAGUCAGAAGCAACACAGCAGAUUCAUACACUGUCUAAUCAAAAGACUCUGUGUACAUUUUUUUUGAGAAGAAAUAUGUAUGAGUUGCGAAAUACUGCCAGAGAUUGGUAUCUCUUCAGAAUUACCUGUUAACAAUGGACAAGUCAGGAAUCAGAUGAAAUACUCUCCACUUUCGGGAUGAAUGCAGUUGCAUCAACACUCAAGAACCUCAACACCAAUCAGGAGAAAGUAACUUUCAUUGGCCAACCCUUUGUCUGUUCUACUGCAGUUUCUUUUCAAACGUGACACUUAAAUUGUCAACAGCAAAAGUGACAGACUUUGUGUCUGAAAGUUUCAAGUGUGUAGCAUGCAUUAGAGCAAAUUUGUUACAUAAAUAGAUACCAAUCAGGUUGCCUCAAUAGUACUUCUCAAUGUACUCAACAUUGCACCACAAGAUAUUGGCAUUCAGGGUGUUCAAAGUUCUUGGCUCUGUUGUUUUCACUCUAGCAUCAACCUUAUUGAAAUGAAAAGGUUAAAACUUCUUCCACUAGACCUGCAAGAUGAGAUGUGAAUAAGGGCAUUAAUUUUUUUGUAAAUUGACCUCUCAUGGCUCAAUUCCACUUUUUAUGGAAAUGAACAAACGAUUCAUCAAACAUUAUCUCACAAUAUGAAUCUAAAACUGCCUCAUUUCAGAGGGAGUCCUAUUUCCCAGUAUUUUAAUUACCAUUGAUUUACUUCUUUGAUAAUUAACAUAUUUCGAAAUGGAGGAGCACAUGUUAGUUACAUACAGAUGCGCCUGGUUUAUCAUACUAUCUCGUGUUAUGAAUAUGGCUGCUGCCUUGAAGAUUCUUAUUAUGACUAUGACUCCAAUUCCAAAAAAAAUGCAGAGAGAAAAAGUCCAGCCUCAACAAGUUUGUCUUUGAACAUUCUGUUAGUUGAUGCUUUCAAAAAAUUAUAUGGAGCCCUCAUUAUAAUGCACCAACCAAUCAAAACUGAGGGGAGUUAUUGAUUUUGAUCUCCACUGAGUCCAAAAACAUCCACAGAAGCUUUGCUUUUAUGUAAAUAUUUUUAAUCAUUCUGUUCAGAUGUUUUUUGAUGCAACUCUAAAGCAUGCUCACUUUAAUACACUGAGAGAAAAUUCACAGCUUUUCGUAA